GAAUGUGUAGUGGAAAUACCCUGGAGAGAUUUGGAGCAUGAGCAGACAUUCUGUUACUGGUUCUGGUCUGCUAGCCACAUGAUGAGAAAGAACCUCUUUGAUUAGCUAUAAAGAGCCGGCACUGAGGGGCUUUCAAAAAGCCGGAGACCUAGUGCCUCUUGGCAGGGACUCUUUCCAGAUUUGCUUGCCUUGGAGAAGGAGGAUGAGCUGCUAAGGGCCUCUGGGUGGAGGAGUGAAAGGGGGUUGGGCCCGCUCCCGGGCACAAGCUGGCACAAAGCAGAAGACGCUUCUCUUGCUAUUAUGUCUUUUUUUUCCCCUUGUUUUGGGGGAAGGAGAUUGCAGAUCUAGACUACGACCUUGUGAGCUUCAGAAGAUCAGGAGAAUGAGUCGCCAGGAGGUCCAGGAAUGGAGUCCAAGCUGAGUUUUGUGGCCAGCUGGUCCCAUACUAAAGCCCAGAGCAAUGACUUUCAGGAUCCUGCCUGUUAGUAGCUGACACGUGGACUCAUCCAACAUUGAUGCCACAUUUGGACACGAAAUGAUGCGCCUAAUGUUAUUCAGAGCCAGUACUAAGUCUGAGCCUGCUCUGCCCGGAAACCAAGCUGACAAAGGGGAGUGUAGACCCCAGGUAUUGGGGGGAAAUGUAUGUACUUCUGUUCUUAUUGUAUCUGUGAAGUUAAUAUCCUUUUGUAAAAGCUAAUUGAUGUUUAUUGGUUCAAUGGAAUUGGUAUGUUAAUCAAUGGCAGUUAACAGUGGGGGAACAUCCUGGACCGGGAACUCAAGCCGAGGACAUUAGAGGAAGCCACCCCAGUUCCUAAGAGGUGUCUCUGAAGAAAUUGGCAAGAUCACGUGGUAGCCUGAGGAAGAGACAUAGCCCUCCCUACUAGGAAAGAGUCAGACCAGAGCAGUCACUGCAGAGAAAAAGUGAGGAGUAAUAAUGCAAGUAUGACAUGCCUCAGAAGAAUCUUCACUGUUCUCGAGUAUGGGGCAUGCACUAUGAUGUCCUCUUCACAUCUAAUUUCCCUAGACACUUCAGUCCUGGUCUCUCCUCUCACAAACUUCAUAAGAAGAGCACACACGUGAAUAGGGAAGCCGAGCUAAGGACAGACAUGGCGAUUUAAUCGUUUUGUUAUGCCAUAAAUGACUCGCACCGUCCUCUCCCACCGCCCCAAGCAUCCUGUUUAUUUUCAACAAAACCACUCACUUUCCAGAAGCCUAAAAAUGAGGAAGCAAAGGAAUUUCUUCUUCGUCCCCCAACAGUAACAUGGAAGAAGGCAGAAGCAAAGUUCCAAUAGUCGCACAUAAAAUCGUCACAUUUUUAGAACUGGAAGCCAC
rnacentral:lncRNA from 1 species